rnacentral:rRNA from 1 species
GACGAACGCUGGCGGCGUGCUUAACACAUGCAAGUCGAGCGGUAAGGCCCUUUCGGGGUACGACGAGCGGCGAACGGGUGAGUAACACGUGGGUGACCUCGCCCUCCAGCUCUGGGAGUAAGCCCGGGAAACCGUGGGUCGUAAUACCGGAUAUGACUCCAUGACGCAUGUUGGUGGGGUGGAAAGCCUUGUGCGGCUGAGGAUGGGCCCG